rnacentral:sRNA from 1 species
AUGUUUCGGUUUAAAACACCAUUGUGGGAUACGGGCUUUGCCUUCCAUGCCCAAUUCGGCCCAAACACAAAUAGAACAAGUCAAGAAAGCUCCUAACAAGGAUGAACGGCCCAUCAGAACAACGGCCCAUCAGAAUGACUGCUCGGCCCAUCACAGCUCGGCCCAUCACGGCUUGGCCCAGCCCGAUAAAUUCAGAAGGGCAAAACGGAGAAAUCGCAAGAGAGACUAAGAGAACCCUAGAUCAGCUCCUUGCCUAUAAAUAAGAGGAGACACUACUAAGAAGAGGGGUCCAGAACCUAAGUCACCACUCAGAGAAUUUAAGAGAGAAUUGCUGCCUAGCUCUUUAUCUCUUACUUUCUGGUUUUCCGUUCUGUAUUUUCUGGUUUUCCGACCAUCAAUAUCUGUUUUCCGACCUGUACUUUCGGUUCUCCGUUCUGUACUUACGGUUUUCCGUUCUGUUAAUUACUAUCUUUCCGUUCGUCAUUAAUAAAGAAGUUACUCCGUUCUCCCUAAACCCCUUAAUCAUUAUUGUUACGACCUCGUUAC